rnacentral:lncRNA from 1 species
AAAUCUGCUCUGCAGACGCAAAAACAUUGGAAGAUAGAACGACAAAAACAAUCACAGCAACCACAAAUGUUGUUAAAGCCUUCAACUUUGAUUCAGUUUGUGCCAUCAAUUAGUAAGUUCCCAACUUUGAUUUUCCUUCUAAUAACUGGCUCCCACACUUCUUUAGAAACAUUAACUCAGUUAAACUGCAAGCAAGAAAUCAAGAUUAUUUGCUCUUAACCAACUUUAAAUAUGCAAAGAUAGCAACUUUGUGAAAAAGAAAAAUUUCAAGAUUCUUUACAUUUACCAGCUUACAUAUGAAAAGGAAGUAACUUUGCGAAGAAGAUAGAUGAAUAAGUUAAUCUCAAUUUUGGCUACUUAAAUGACUCCCUUGUUUAGCUCCUUAAUGAUUAUUUUCUCUUAUCCAUAUUUUCUGUGUCUUAAAAGGACCCUUAAUCAUUUUGAAGAGCUGUUUCUACAAAUCAAUUAAUACCAAUAAAUGCUGAGAGAAUGAGACGUGUUUUUCUGCCAAUGCCUACCUCUCUAAAGCCUAACAUAGUAACAUGGUCUUGUGGAAAUGAGUGGCACUAAGAUUAUUGCGGUUUAUUUGGAACAUAGAAUUUUAUAACAAAAGUUAAGCACCACUAAAGGAUGUGGUCCUCCCUUAUUCAAAAGAGUCUCUAGUUAAGUCGUAUGAAAAAAUCUUUAGUUCCCUUAUUCAAAAGAGUCUCGAGUUAAGUCGUAUGAAAAAAUCUUUAGUAGGGAGCGUUCCCCCUCCCGAAUAGGGUCCAGUGGUGGAUCUACAUGUUGUUUUUUUGGGUGCUCAAGCACACAUUAUCUUUGACAAGAUUUAGUAAAUUUAUAUAUGUAAUUAUAAAAAUAUUUAGAUAAAUAUUGAGUUAGCACCCAUUAUUAAACUCAUUUUUCCUUUUCUUUCAGAAUUUUUAUCAGCGAGCACCAAGGACUUUAAAAUCCUGGAUCCGCCAUUGAUAUGGCCCUAUCCGGUGCAAAUCCGGAUAUAGUCGGACUCGGCUCCAAUGCGAGUACCGAACAUGAAAAACCAAAAAAAAAGUUAAGCACUUUUCCAAUGUCAGUAUCGAAUUAGAUGCAUGGUCACUUAACUUGCUAAAAUAACACUAAUGGUGGUCCUCUUUUGCUUCUUUUAUUUUCAAUGGCUUAAUUUGUCAUCUUAUCCUUUUAAGGGGUGCAGGCACCUUGCUUGAGUAG